rnacentral:rRNA from 1 species
UACCCGCAGCACAAGUGGUGGUCAUUAUUAUUGGGCCUAAAGCGUCCGUAGCUGGCUUGUUAGAUGCCUGGGUAAAUCGAUGCGCUCAACGUAUCGAACUCCGAGUAGACCGGCAAGCUUGGGACCGGGAGAGGCGUGAGCUACUCGAGGGGUAGGGGUAAAAUCCUGUAAUCCUUCGGGGAGGACCAGUGGCGAAGGCGUCACGCUAGAACGGCUCCGACAGUGAGGGACGAAGCCCUGGGGCGCAAACCGG